GUAGUCCACGCCGUAAACGAUGUCUACUAGCCGUUGGGGUCCUUGAGACUUUAGUGGCGCAGUUAACGCGAUAAGUAGACCGCCUGGGGAGUACGGCCGCAAGGUUAAAACUCAAAUGAAUUGACGGGGGCCCGCACAAGCGGUGGAGCAUGUGGUUUAAUUCGAUGCAACGCGAAGAACCUUACCUGGUCUUGACAUAGUGAGAAUCUUUCAGAGAUGAGAGAGUGCCUUCGGGAAUUCACAUACAGGUGCUGCAUGGCUGUCGUCAGCUCGUGUCGUGAGAUGUUGGGUUAAGUCCCGCAACGAGCGCAACCCUUUUCCUUAUUUGCCAGCGGGUUAAGCCGGGAACUUUAAGGAUACUGCCAGUGACAAACUGGA
rnacentral:rRNA from 1 species